CAGCAGCCGCGGUAAUACGUAGGUGGCAAGCGUUGUCCGGAAUUAUUGGGCGUAAAGGGCUCGCAGGCGGUUUCUUAAGUCUGAUGUGAAAGCCCCCGGCUCAACCGGGGAGGGUCAUUGGAAACUGGGAAACUUGAGUGCAGAAGAGGAGAGUGGAAUUCCACGUGUAGCGGUGAAAUGCGUAGAGAUGUGGAGGAACACCAGUGGCGAAGGCGACUCUCUGGUCUGUAACUGACGCUGAGGAGCGAAAGCGUGGGGAGCGAGCAGGAUUAGAUACCCGUGUAGUCCCUGUCUCUUAUAA
rnacentral:rRNA from 1 species